rnacentral:rRNA from 1 species
UACAGAGGGGGCAAGCGUUGUUCGGAAUUACUGGGCGUAAAGGGCGCGUAGGCGGCCUUCUAAGUCGAACGUGAAAUCCCCGGGCUCAACCCGGGAACUGCGUCCGAUACUGGGAGGCUUGAAUCCGGGAGAGGGAUGUGGAAUUCCAGGUGUAGCGGUGAAAUGCGUAGAUAUCUGGAGGAACACCGGUGGCGAAGGCGGCAUCCUGGACCGGUAUUGACGCUGAGGCGCGAAAGCGUGGGUAGCAAACGGG